rnacentral:rRNA from 1 species
AGAGGAAGUAAAAGUCGUAACAAGGUCUCCGUAGGUGAACCUGCGGAGGGAUCAUUACCGAGUUCAUGCCCUUACGGGUAGACCUCCCACCCUAUGUUAUAUUACCUUUGUUGCUUUGGCGGGCCGCCCGGCUUCGGCCAGGCUACCGGCUCCAGCUGGUAAGCGCUCGCCAGAGGACCCUCAACUCUGAAUAUCAGUGUCGUCUGAGUACUAUAAAAUAGUUAAAACUUUCAACAACGGAUCUCUUGGUUCUGGCAUCGAUGAAGAACGCAGCGAAAUGCGAUAAGUAAUGUGAAUUGCAGAAUUCAGUGAAUCAUCGAAUCUUUGAACGCACAUUGCGCCCCUUGGUAUUCCGAGGGGCAUGCCUGUUCGAGCGUCAUUACAACCCUCAAGCACUGCUUGGUAUUGGGCUCCGCUGGCUCCAGCGGGCCUUAAAAUCAGUGGCGGCGCCGUUUGGGCUCUGAGCGUAGUAAAUAUCCUCGCUAUAGAGACCAGGCGAUUCUUGUCAUCAACCCCCAACUUUCUAAGUUUGACCUCGGAUCAGGUAGGGAUACCCGCUGAACUUAAGCAUAUCAA